CGCGGGGUGGAGCAGUCUGGUAGCUCGUCGGGCUCAUAACCCGAAGGUCUCAGGUUCGAAUCCUGACCCCGCUACCA
rnacentral:tRNA from 2 species